CCCAUUGAUGUAUCGCUUGUCCAUAGCGGUAGCUGCUCAAAUCCGAUUCUUCGCUCGUGUACGAGUACGCCUACUGCAGUUGCUAUCUGCCUCCUUCCCUCUCACAUCAGCUUCCACGGGGUGGCUUGGCUUGGCCCCCAGCCCCACGACCUCGCGCUUCACAUUGUCGGCAGGGAGCAGGCCGCCGCCGCCAAGGUCUCCUCUUCCCCAGUGGUCGUGGCUGGCCCACCUACUCAGCUACUCAAUAGUGUAUCGACGGAGGCUAUCCGGUGGUGCUGGUUCUUGGGUGAUGCCACCACAGUCUUGUCCUCCAAGGUGGUCCAGAUCUAGUAGUACCUCAGUGGAGGCAAGCCGGUGGUGCUCGAUCUCGUUGCCUCCUUCCCCUCGCACGCUCAUUAUCAAGGUAGGUUGACUGAUAGAGCUUACAUAGAGUCCCAGGUUGGGAUCUCUCCCAGCACAUGAAGCUUGAUGAAGAUGCAUAGGAAAUAGGGGAAAAGGCUUGAUUUUUCUGUGAUGUAGCAUCCAGAUGCUUAUUGAGUGUUCAUUAUUUUAGGGGGUCCUUCAUUUUGAUUAUUAAUACUUGGUCUUGCCGAUCAUGUGUAGAAAAUGAUCCUUGCAUGAUAUGUAUGUAUGGAUGUCUCUUGUGUUUUAUUCUCAAGGGGAUGAUCUAGAUUGACAUGUAUGUUUAUUUCUCAUGUACUCAAAUAAAAGGCAAGUUUUAUA